AAACAUCUCCCCCCGCAGAUUGGAAUUGGGGGUAGUCCCUGCCCAGUGGUAAAUGUCUAAACGGAAAGGAUAAUUUUUAAAGUAGCGUAAUAAUUUGUCCCUUAAUUAGGGUCUGAAUGAAUGGGUUGACGUGGGGUGGCUGUCUUAAAAGAAGUUUAUUUAAAUUUCCUUCUUAGUGAAAAGCCUGAGAUAAGCUUAAAAGACGAGAAGACCCCGUCGAGCUUAAGAGGAAAAAUAGUAAUUACUUUUUUUUUCAGUUUUAUUGGGGCAAUAAAGGAGAAUAAUAAACCUCCAGUUUUUGUUAUUGAUCCAUCUGUUGAUGAUAAUAAGAAAAAGUUACCGCGGGGAUAACAGCGCAAGACGACCAGAGAGUUCUUAUCUAAGGCCGUAAGUGCGACCUCGAUGUUGGAUUAGGGUAGACUUAAGGGUGCAGCAGCUCUUAAAGUGGGACUGUUCGUCCUUUAAAUCCCUACAUG
rnacentral:rRNA from 1 species